rfam:Clostridium acidisoli DSM 12555 genome assembly, contig: EJ29DRAFT_scaffold00006.6
AUAACCUUUAAAUUUGGUCCUGUGAGGCUGAGAAGGUGAUACGGUAUAUUAGUAAAAAGCAGCAUAAGUAUAUGCAUAGCUUUGUUUUCGUACGCAAGAGCCUUUCUCAUAGGAGAAGGCUCUAUUUUUUA